rnacentral:rRNA from 1 species
GUAGGCGGUUUAAUAAGUGAAUAGUGAAACCUGGUGGCUCAACCAUACAGACUAUUAUUCAAACUGUUAAACUCGAGAAUGGUAGAGGUAACNUGGAAUUUCUAGUGUAGGAGUGAAAUCCGUAGAUAUUAGAAGGAACACCGAUGGCGUAGGCAGGUUACUGGGCCAUUUCUGACGCUAAGGCACGAAAGCGUGGGGAGCGAACCGGAUUAGAUACCCGGGUAGUCCACGCCGUAAACGAUGGAUACUAGCUGUUGGAGGUAUCGACCCCUUCAGUAGCGAAGCUAACGCGUUAAGUAUCCCGCCUGUGGAGUACGGCCGCAAGGCUAAAACAUAAAGGAAUUGACGGGGACCCGCACAAGCGGUGGAUUAUGUUCUUUAAUUCGAUGAUAACCGAAGAACCUUACCAGGGCUUGACAUCCAGGGAAGGUCUGCGAAAGUAGACUGUGCCUUUUGGAACCCUGUGACAGGUGAUGCAUGGCCGUCGUCAGCUCGUGUCGUGAGAUGUUAGGUUAAGUCCUUCAACGAGCGCAACCCUUGUGAAUAGUUGUAUUUUUCUAUUCAGACUGCCCCGGUAACGGGGAGGAANGANGGGGAUGAUGUCAGGUCAGUAUUUCCCUUACGUCCUGGGCUAGAAACGUAAUACAAUGGCUAGUACAAUGCGCAGCGAAGCCCCGAGGU